UCUCUCUGAAUCUGCGAACGGCUCCGCAAACCAGUUGUAAACCAAAGCAAGCAAACCCGUGGUCUGCCUUUCAUUAGGUGGGCUGCGGGUGAUACGGAUAACCCUGGUAAUUCUGAGGCUAAUACGAGACUGUAGUCCCUGGCUAACCGGGAAACUGGAAGGCUGGCGGGCGUGUAUCUAUUUGCAAGACGGAUCCAGGAAGGGGUGCACGCUCUGACCGCGACAAAGACAGUUCCGACAAACCCUCGGGUGCGUUGGUUCUGAGCGGCUCUUGCGCUGUGCUUCUGACCUAUCAACUAGAUGGCAGCGUAACGGACAUGCCAUGGUUACAACGGGUACAGAGGAUUAGGGUUCGACCCUGGAGAGUGGGCCUGAGAGAUUGAGC
rnacentral:rRNA from 1 species